AGUGACCAAAUUAUUCAUAUUUCUGGAUAUUAUUAUAAGAUAUAACAGCAUAUCAAUAUAGAAUUAUGAAUAAUUAAUAUUCAAAUCAUUAUUAUUUUUAAUUAUUUAAAAAAAUCUGGCUAUAUUCCUCCUUAACCAUACAUAACAUCUCAGGACUGUACAUAACUUUUCAUCUGUAAAAUAGCACAUUCAUUAUUCUUACUAUUUUCUCUAUAUUUUUAUUACCAUAUAGCUAUAAUUUUUAAUUUAUUCUCUGUUCUCUUUAUUAUUAGUUUUAUAUUUCAUUCUAUUACCUUAAUUUUUAUGUAUGUCUGCACUAGGUCUGUAUUUUCUCCACUGGAAGCUCCUGUCACCAAGACGGAUUCCUUGUGUGUGUAAACACACUUGGCAAUAAAGCUAUUUCUGAUUCUGACAUAUGAAAUGCAUCUUGAGGUCUAGAAGUGAUUGUUAAAGUAAAAAAGUGUUCAAAUUUUGGAUUUCGAUAGGGCAGUGUAUAUAUAUAUAUAUAUAUAUAGGCACAGUAAAUGUGUUAAAAUAUUCUUACUUCACAAGAUCAAGACAUCUUUCAUUAAACUACUUUGUCGGAUUUAAUGCAUAUUUGCAGAUUGCAGAGAAAUUUGAGUUUCUUCAUUCAGUUCUAUCAGUGCUUAUUGCGAGCACCUCGUUACAUAAAGGUGUUUCACGAAUAAGGAGCUGAAUUCAGCUUCAUACUCCACAAACUGCUCUAAUGAAAUCCAAACUUAAAGCUCAGUGCACACAGUCGUAUUGCACAAUUCAGCCCAUUUAAUGGCGAGCCUUCUCUGCCGUUACAGAGGAUGCGUUAAAGCAGACAUAACGCCGUUAUAUAGGUAUAGAAGCCCAUUUUUGAACAAAUAGGUCCAUAUUAAGUCAUGUGCAUCCAAACUCUUGUUUUCUUCACAGUAAAACUGCAGUGACUGACAAAGGAAAUAGGUUAUAGUUUACAUAAAUCUGACAUUGUAACGUGUGCGCAUGUGAAAAGUUUCUUGUGAGCAUGCAAUAGUUUCUUGCGCUUAUGCGAAAGUCUGUGUAUUUUUUAAUGUUUGCAAAUGUCCUAUUAGGGGCUCCGUACAUACCCCCCCUCAAGAAACUCUACCUGUCUCAAUGUGCAUACAACUACUCAUCCCGAGAGUUUUUAACAGGAUAACACUGGCUACUUUAUAUGAUCUCUCAAUUACUGUCUAAGACAGCUCCCUUAAGAUUUUCUCCCCUUUAAAGUCCUGAAGCGUGAACAAGAAAAAAAAAAACCCGCAAAAUGGAGCCUGUAAAUGUGAUCCUGAUAAAAAUUUUAAAAAAAAAAAACCCUCAGUCAUAAAAAAUGUUUAAAAAAUCAAAACAGAGCUGAGGAGCUUAUGAGGUGACAGUUUGACUGUAGUGCUGACAGUCGCCUCUCUUUGAUGUCAUCAUUCUUCCUGUGGUUGGCUGGGUUCAGCAUGGCUCUGCUUGGUAUUCAGGGCACAUUUGACGGGUAGGCUGGGGAGCAUUUAGCGUGUUUGUCCGGCAAGCCUCUGACAAAUCAGCUGUUUAGAAGCUGUCAGUAUGGUUGAGCAGCAAGGGGCCUGACAUGGCCCAAGCAGAUGGAGUCAUGGACACAACAAGACACCAAAUUCAUAUUCCAUUCCAAAACACAGAGAGCUUCACGACAAUCACAGAAGGACAGUUGCAGUCUUAGAGAUAGAAGGAUAUUAUACACACUGUAUGGAAGUGUAUGGAAGCGACAAGGAAACUUUUAAAUUUAUAUUUUUGUGCCAUUACUUUUUCUAAGGUGUCAGACUUUUAUGCCUGGUGGAUGAUGAAAAGGGCCAAAAAAGUGUAAUAAUCGAGAUUCUUUAACAUUGCAUGUUUGGAAUUUGUGUGUAAUCACCAAAGUAUCGAAUCUAUUUGAUUCACUCACAGGUGGAAAACAAAGUGACAGUUGAAAGAAAAUUCAAGACCUUGUCAGAGGAGAUGCAAAAGCAGGCCUACACUGUAAAAAAAGUACAAUAUACCGUAAUAAUUUGAAGGAAUUUUCCGUAUUUGGUUUUUACAGGUUUUUUUCCGUAUUUUUUAAAUUAUGCUUUGCAUUGUGGGAACAAGAAGGUCAGUCGAUUAUCGGCGCGAAAACAAUGCUAGAGCAGGCGCCAUUAUUCACGGAGAUAGUAUCAGUCAAAAUUUCAUUUUAAAGUCGGAUUUCGGGUUUGGGAAACUGUUCUUACACUUCCGUGGUAAAUUAGUUUUUGUUAAAUGUAACAAACCGUAACUUUAACUUAGUUGCUGUCUAGCUUGUUUGGUAAAUGAAUGUCGGAGCCGUCAUAUUCAACAUUUUCAGCACACCGUCACAUCUUACUCGACGACGUGGAGGUAAGUUACUUGUUACAGUGUUCUCACUUUUAGUUUUAUAAUUACAAGUUAAUUAACUUUUUAAUUGUUGUUGCUGUGUAUUUGUUACUGAGCGUGUCAUAAAGCAUCGGCACAUAACGUUACUGAGGUGAUGUUAAGAAGCUGUAAGAACAUUACAUCUGAGGUACAACUGUGUUUAGAGAACUUUAUGCCUUCAACAGGAGCUGGCAGAGGAAUUGUCAAGAAAAGAAGACUCCAUUUACGACUUUUUAAAAAAAAUUGUAAAGAUAUUAAGAUAAGACUAGGUGAAGAUCUGACAUCGCAGAAUUCUUCAAGGAUAACGCCUUUUCUGCCAAACGAGGUCUAAUUGCUGCUGCUGUACUGUACACCCCAAGCACCCCCUGCAUUCUUAUCAUGGAUUGCUGUCAUUCAAGAAGUUAUCAUUUCCUCCCAUUGUGGCUGAGCUACACAUUCUCUUUGUUUUAUUUUAAACAUAAAACAUCCAGAGGAGAUGGCACCUAUGCUGGAAUCCAUACAAAUUCUUCCUGUGAAGAAAUCCUGAACAAGGGUCAAAGGUUGAGAUGAUGGGAACCUAUGCUUCCAAGACUUUGAGAAUCCAUGUACAAUUUGAGCUUUUUUCAAAUCUCAACAUGGAACUUGGACUGAACAUGCAGAAAAAAAAGUAGUUUUCACAAACUGGCACAUGACAAGAGAUACUAAAAGCACACAAGUUUAGUUUAGUAUAGUUGUAUAGUAUAGUUUCACAUUGAAAUGUGAGGCAUGAGUGCAUGAAUCUUUGUUUUUUUAUUUUCAAAUGCUGUACAAGAAAGUAUUUUUUGCAGUACCAUGCCAAUUGUAGAUGCAGAUAAUUUAGCAU